CCUACGGGUGGCAGCAGUGGGGAAUAUUGGGCAAUGGAGGAAACUCUGACCCAGCAACGCCGCGUGAAUGAUGAAGGUUUUCGGAUUGUAAAGUUCUUUUCUCAGGGAAGAAGAAAGUGCCGUAACCUUAGGAAUAAGCCCCGCCUAACUACGGCCCAGCAGCCGAGGUAAUACGUAGGAGGCGAGCGUUAUCCGGAAUGACUGGGCGUAAGGGGUGCGUAGGUGGUUUGACAAGUUAGUAGAGUAACUCCACGGCUCAACCGUGGAACUCCUAUUAAAACUGUUGAUCUUGAGUGCAGGAGGGGCAGACGGAAGUCCUAGUGUAGCGGUGGAAUGCGUAGAUAUUAGGAGGAACACCAGUGGCGAAGGCGGGUUGCUAGACUGUAACUGACAGUGAGGCGCGAAAGCGUGGGGAGCAAACAGGAUUAGAUACCCCAGUAGUC
rnacentral:rRNA from 1 species